rnacentral:rRNA from 1 species
UCGGGAAUUUUGGGCAAUGGACGAAAGCCUGACCCAGCAACGCCGCGUGAAGGAUGAAGUAUUUCGGUAUGUAAACUUCGAAAGAAUAGGAAGAAUAAAUGACGGUACUAUUUAUAAGGUCCGGCUAACUACGUGCCAGCAGCCGCGGUAAUACGUAGGGACCAAGCGUUGUUCGGAUUUACUGGGCGUAAAGGGCGCGUAGGCGGCAAUUCAAGUCAUCUGUGAAAUCUCCGGGCUUAACUCGGAACGGUCAGAUGAUACUGCUUUGCUAGAGUGCAGAAGGGGCAAUCGGAAUUCUUGGUGUAGCGGUGAAAUGCGUAGAUAUCAAGAGGAACACCCGAGGUGAAGACGGGUUGCUGGGCUGACACUGACGCUGAGGCGCGAAAGCCAGGGGAGCAAACGGGGAUUAGAUACCCACGUAGUCCCUGAGCGGGCUGGCAAGGCGCAU